GACGAACCGUGCGAACGUUGUUCGGAAUCACUGGGCUUAAAGGGCGCGUAGGCGGGCUGCCAAGUCCGGGGUGAAAUCUUUCGGCUCAACCGGAAAGUGCCUUGGAUACUGGUGGUCUUGAGCGAGGUAGGGUAUGUGGAACUUCCGGUGGAGCGGUGAAAUGCGUUGAUAUCGGAAGGAACACCGGUGGCGAAGGCGGUUCUCUGGGCCUUACCUGGACGCUGAGGAGCGAAAGCGUGGGGAGCGAACAGG
rnacentral:rRNA from 1 species